rnacentral:antisense_RNA from 2 species
UGUGGGAGCGAGCCUGCUCGCGAAGGCGUCAGGUCAGCCAACUGCAUUUUUGAAUGGUCGAUCGCUUUCGCGAGCAGGCUCGCUCCCACA